rnacentral:lncRNA from 1 species
CAUUUUUAGAUGGUGACGUUCCCUUGUCACCAUCUUACGGUGUUUAUAUAUCUCAACUUGUACGAUUCGCUCGUGUAUGUAACAAUGUUUUAGAUUUUAACGAGAGAAAUGUAUGUAUUACUGAAAAAUUAUUACACCAGGGGUUUCGAUAUCACAAACUAGUCAAAACAUUUACUAAAUUUUAUCAUCGGUAUAAGGACAACAUUCGUAAAUA